rnacentral:rRNA from 1 species
UACAGAGGGUGCGAGCGUUGUCCGGAAUCACUGGGCGUAAAGGGCGCGUAGGUGGCGGGCCAAGUCAGUGGUGAAAGCUCGAUGCUCAACAUCGAGUCGGCCACUGAUACUGGUUUGCUUGAGCACUGUAGAGGCAGAUGGAAUUCCGGGUGUAGCGGUGAAAUGCGCAGAUAUCAGGAGGAACACCGGUGGCGAAGGCGGGUCUCUGGGCCGAUACUGACGCUGAGGAGCGAAAGCGUGGGGAGCGAACAGG